UACGGAGGGAGCUAGCGUUGUUCGGAAUUACUGGGCGUAAAGCGCACGUAGGCGGCUUUGUAAGUUAGAGGUGAAAGCCCGGGGCUCAACCCCGGAAUUGCCUUUAAGACUGCAUCGCUUGAAUCCGGGAGAGGUGAGUGGAAUUCCGAGUGUAGAGGUGAAAUUCGUAGAUAUCGGAAGGAACGCCAGCAGCGAAAGCGGCACACUGGGCCUUUUCUGACGCUGAGGCACGAAAGCCAGGGGAGCGAACGGG
rnacentral:rRNA from 1 species